AUUGAACGCUGGCGGCAUGCCUUACACAUGCAAGUCGAACGGCAGCACGGGUGCUUGCACCUGGUGGCGAGUGGCGCACGGGGGAGUAAUACAUCGGAACAUGUCCUGUAGUGGGGGAUAGCACGGCGAAAGCCGGGUUAAUACCGCAGACGAACUACGGAAGACGGAGGGGGCAAAUGUGAAAUCGGGCUUUGCGGUUGCUCGAUGGCUGAUUAGCUAGUUGGUGGGGUAAAGGCCUACCAAGGCGACGAUCAGUAGCUGGUCUGAGAGGACGACCAGCCACACUGGGACUGAGACACGGCCCAGACUCCUACGGGAGGCAGCAGUGGGGAAUUUUGGACAAUGGGCGAAAGCCUGAUCCAGCAAUGCCGCGUGUGUGAAGAAGGCCUUCGGGUUGUAAAGCACUUUUGUCCGGAAAGAAAUCCUUUGCCCUAAUACGGUCGGGGCAUGACGGUACCGGAAGAAUAAGCACCGGCUAACUACGUG
rnacentral:rRNA from 1 species